AGCGAACGCUGGCGGCAGGCUUAACACAUGCAAGUCGAGCGGGCGUAGCAAUACGUCAGCGGCAGACGGGUGAGUAACGCGUGGGAACGUACCUUUUGGUUCGGAACAACACAGGGAAACUUGUGCUAAUACCCGGGAUAAGCCCUUACGGGGAAAGAUUUAUCGCCGAAAGAUCGGCCCGCGUCUGAUUAGCUAGUUGGUGAGGUAAUGGCUCACCAAGGCGACGAUCAGUAGCUGGUCGAGAGGAUGAUCAGCCACAUUGGGACUGAGACACGGCCCAAACUCCUACGGGAGGCAGCAGUGGGGAAUAUUGGACAAUGGGCGCAAGCCUGAUCCAGCCAUGCCGCGUGAGUGAUGAAGGCCCUAGGGUUNUAAAGCUCUUUUGUGCGGGAAGAUAAUGACGGUACCGCAAGAAUAAGCCCCGGCUAACUUCGUGCCAGCAGCCGCCGU
rnacentral:rRNA from 1 species